CCCGAACUUUCCACAAGGAACAAGAGGUGUAUAAAUACUGGACGUCUGACAUUCCAAAGUAAAAAAUUACAGGACUACGGAAAGAUGAAGCCUCUUUGCCUUGUGUUCGUGAUGUUGAUCCUUUGCAUUCAAGUGGAUGUACUGUCAGCGGGAUCUACCGUACCCCCGUCUGGAACAGGAGCCGGUGGUGGAGGCGGUGGAGCUGGUUGUCUGGUUGCCGGUUUACUUCCGCUUGUGAUCGCCAUGGCAACAAGCGCUCGCCGCCUUCUAUAAUAGUUGUCAUGACAACGAAGUUCUGAUUCCUUGAAAACUCUGACAUUUAAUAAUAAUCAUAUUUCAUCGGAAUAAAACUUGAUAGUCAAACACUUCAAAUGAUCUUUAUUCGACAUUGCGUGUAUAUUUUUCAUUCUAUUAAUAUCCAUGUUUUGUCCAUCGUACAUUGUGCAGUGAAGAAAGAGAAACACACAUUCAGAUCGGAAACAGUGGAACCCUCUUCCGGGUUAUGACACUUUGAUGUGGCGUCAAAAUUGGCCUCUGUCAGCCAUUCUGCUUCUCGAAUUUCUCGGAGUGUAGUGAACAAAAUGAAUAAAUUUCUCAAAAUCAUCUCCGACCACACCAA